ensembl:snRNA U7 U7 small nuclear RNA
AAAUGUGACAGCUUUUGUAGAAUUUGUCUAGCAGGUUUUCUGGUCCACAUAGGAAGGCCCCC